rnacentral:rRNA from 1 species
UACGUAGGGUGCAAGCGUUAAUCGGAAUUACUGGGCGUAAAGCGUGCGCAGGCGGUUUUGUAAGUCAGAUGUGAAAUCCCCGGGCUUAACCUGGGAACUGCGUUUGAAACUACAAGGCUAGAGUGUGACAGAGGGGGGUGGAAUUCCACGUGUAGCAGUGAAAUGCGUAGAGAUGUGGAGGAACACCGAUGGCGAAGGCAGCCCCCUGGGUUAACACUGACGCUCAGGCACGAAAGCGUGGGAGCAAACAGG